rnacentral:rRNA from 1 species
UUCCGGUUGAUCCUGCCAGAGGUUACUGCUAUCGGGGUCCGACUAAGCCAUGCGAGUCGAGAGGGUAAAGCCCUCGGCGUAAUGCUCAGUAACACGCGGAUAACCUGCCCUUGGGUCCGGGAUAACCCCGGGAAACUGGGACUAAUACCGGAUAGAUCAAAGACACUGGAAUGUUCUCUGGUCCAAAACUCCGGUGCCCAAGGAUGGGUCUGCGGCCUAUCAGGUUGUAGUGGGUGUAACGUACCUACUAGCCGACGACGGGUAAGGGUUGUGAGAGCAAGAUCCCUGAGAUGGAUUCUGAGACAUGAAUCCAGGCCCUACGGGGUGCAGCAGGCGCGAAACCUUUACACUGCGGGAAACCGCGAUAAGGGGACCCCGAGUGCCAGCACCUAGUGCUGGCUGUCCAGCUGUCCAAAUAACAGUUGUUAGCAAGGACCGGGCAAGACCGGUGCCAGCCGCCGCGGUAACACCGGCGGCCCGAGUGGUAGCCGCUAUUAUUGGGUUUAAAGGGCCCGUAGCCGGCCUAUUAAGUCUCUUGGGAAAUCUGGCGGCUUAAUCGUCAGGCGUCCAAGAGAUACUGGUAGGCUUGGGACCGGGAGAGGUGGGAGGUACUCCAGGGGUAGGGGUGAAAUCUCGUAAUCCUUGGGGGACCACCGAUGGCGAAGGCAUCCCACCAGAACGGGUCCGACGGUGAGGGACGAAAGCUGGGGGCACGAACCGGAUUAGAUACCCGGGUAGUCCCAGCUGUAAACGAUGCUCGCUAGGUGUCAGGUGCGGUGCGACCGCAUCUGGUGCCGCAGUGAAAACUUGAAGCGAGUCACCUGGGAAGUACGGUCGCAAGGCUGAAACUUAAAGGAAUUGGCGGGGGAGCACUACAACGGGUGGAGCCUGCGGUUCAAUUGGAUUCAACGCCGGG